rnacentral:rRNA from 1 species
UGCUUUUUUCAACUCAGUGGCGGACGGGUGAGUAACGCGUGAGUAACCUGCCUUUCAGAGGGGGAUAACGUUCUGAAAAGAACGCUAAUACCGCAUAAGAUUGUAGCUUCGCAUGGAGCAGCAAUCAAAGGAGCAAUCCGCUGAAAGAUGGACUCGCGUCCGAUUAGAUAGUUGGCGGGGUAACGGCCCACCAAGUCGACGAUCGGUAGCCGGACUGAGAGGUUGAUCGGCCACAUUGGGACUGAGACACGGCCCAGACUCCUACGGGAGGCAGCAGUGAGGGAUAUUGGGCAAUGGGGGAAACCCUGACCCAGCAACGCCGCGUGAGGGAUGACGGUUUUCGGAUUGUAAACCUCUGUCCUCUGUGAAGAUAGUGACGGUAGCAGAGGAGGAAGCUCCGGCUAACUACGUGCCAGCAGCCGCGGUAAUACGUAGGGAGCAAGCGUUGUCCGGAUUUACUGGGUGUAAAGGGUGCGUAGGCGGAUUGGCAAGUCAGAAGUGAAAUCCAUGGGCUUAACCCAUGAACUGCUUUUGAAACUGUUAGUC